UACGAAGGGGGCUAGCGUUGCUCGGAUUUACUGGGCGUAAAGGGCGCGUAGGCGGAUCUUUAAGUCAGGGGUGAAAGCCUGAGGCUCAACCUCAGAAUUGCCUUUGAUACUGAAGAUCUUGAGACCGGAAGAGGUAAGUGGAACUGCGAGUGUAGAGGUGAAAUUCGUAGAUAUUCGCAAGAACACCAGUGGCGAAGGCGGCUUACUGGUCCGGUUCUGACGCUGAGGCGCGAAAGCGUGGGGAGCAAACAGG
rnacentral:rRNA from 1 species